rnacentral:rRNA from 1 species
AGGACUAACGCUGGCGGCGUGCCUAACACAUGCAAGUCGAACGAAGUAGCAAUACUUAGUGGCAGACGGGUGAGUAACACGUAGUCAACCUGCCCUUCAAUGGGGGAUAACUAGCCGAAAGGUUAGCUAAUACCGCAUACGAUCUCUGAGUGGCAUCACUCGGCGAUGAAAGGAGUAAUCCGUUGAAGGAGGGGACUGCGUCCCAUUAGUUAGUUGGUGGGGUAAUGGCCUACCAAGACUCCGAUGGGUAGCUGGCUUGAGAGAGCGACCAGCCACACUGGAACUGAGACACGGUCCAGACUCCUACGGGAGGCAGCAGUGAGGAAUUUUCCGCAAUGGGGGAAACCCUGACGGAGCGACGCCGCGUGUGGGAAGAAGGCCUUCGGGUCGUAAACCACUGUCGAGGGGACGAUAUUGACGGUACCCCUGGAGGAAGCCCCGGCUAACUACGCGCCAGCAGCCGC